rnacentral:rRNA from 1 species
CCUACGGGUGGCAGCAGUGGGGAAUAUUGGGCAAUGGGCGCAAGCCUGACCCAGCAACGCCGCGUGAAGGAAGAAGGCUUUCGGGUUGUAAACUUCUUUUCUCAGGGACGAAGCAAGUGACGGUACCUGAGGAAUAAGCCACGGCUAACUACGUGCCAGCAGCCGCGGUAAUACGUAGGUGGCAAGCGUUAUCCGGAUUUACUGGGUGUAAAGGGCGUGUAGGCGGGACUGGAAGUCAGAUGUGAAAACCACGGGCCCAACCUGUUGCCUGCAUUUGAAACUGGAGUUCUUGAGUACAGGAGAGGCAGACGGAAUUCCUAGUGUAGCGGUGAAAUGCGUAGAUAUUAGGAGGAACCCCAGGGGCGAAGGCGGUCGGCUGGACAGCAACUGACGCUGAGGCGCGAAAGCGUGGGGAGCAAACAGGAUUAGAUACCCGGGUAGUC